AUUGAACGCUGGCGGCAGGCUUAACACAUGCAAGUCGAGCGGGGUGAUGGUGCUUGCACUAUCACUUAGCGGCGGACGGGUGAGUAAUGCUUAGGAAUCUGCCUAUUAGUGGGGGACAACAUCUCGAAAGGGAUGCUAAUACCGCAUACGUCCUACGGGAGAAAGCAGGGGAUCACUUGUGACCUUGCGCUAAUAGAUGAGCCUAAGUCGGAUUAGCUAGUUGGUGGGGUAAAGGCCUACCAAGGCGACGAGCUGUAGCGGGUCUGGGAGGAUGAUCCGCCACACUGGGACUGAGACACGGCCCAGACUCCUACGGGAGGCAGCAGUGGGGAAUAUUGGACAAUGGGGGGAACCCUGAUCCAGCCAUGCCGCGUGUGUGAAGAAGGCCUUAUGGUUGUAAAGCACUUUAAGCGAGGAGGAGGCUCUUUUGGUUAAUACCCAAGAUGAGUGGAUGUUACUCGCAGAAUAAGCACCGGCUAACUCUGUGCCAGCCGCCGCCGUAA
rnacentral:rRNA from 1 species